UACGUAGGGUGCAAGCGUUAAUCGGAAUUACUGGGCGUAAAGCGUGCGCAGGCGGUUCGCUAAGACAGCUGUGAAAUCCCCGGGCUUAACCUGGGAACUGCAUUUGUGACUGGCGGGCUAGAGUGUGGCAGAGGGGGGUAGAAUUCCACGUGUAGCAGUGAAAUGCGUAGAGAUGUGGAGGAAUACCGAUGGCGAAGGCAGCCCCCUGGGCCAAUACUGACGCUCAUGCACGAAAGCGUGGGGAGCAAACAGG
rnacentral:rRNA from 1 species